rnacentral:rRNA from 1 species
GACAGAGGUGCCAAGCGUUAGGCGGAAUCACUGGCUUAAAGCGUGUGUAGGCGGGCGAUCAAGUACCUUGUUAAAUCCCACGGCUCAACCGUGGAACUGCUGGGUAUACUGGUUGUCUUGAGCCAGCUAGGGGCGAGCGGAACAGACGGUGGAGCGGUGAAAUGCGUAGAUAUCGUCUGGAACGCCGAAGGUGAAAACAGCUCGCUGGGGCUGCGCUGACGCUGAGACACGAAAGCCAGGGGAGCGAACGGG